rnacentral:tRNA from 1 species
GCGAGAGUGGCGGAACUGGCAGACGCGCUGGACUUAGGAUCCAGUGGGGCAACCUGUGGGGGUUCGAGUCCCCCCUCUCGCACCA